rnacentral:rRNA from 1 species
AUUGAACGCUGGCGGCAGGCCUAACACAUGCAAGUCGAGCGGAGCGGCGGACGGGUGAGUAAUGCCUAGGAAUCUGCCUGGUAGUGGGGGAUAACGUCCGGAAACGGGCACUAAUACCGCAUACUCUCAGAUGAGCCUAGGUCGGAUUCGCUAGUUGGUGGGGUAAAGGCCUACCAAGGCGACGAUCCGUAACUGGUCUUAGAGGAUGCUCAGUCACACGGGAAAGGCUGCACGGUCCAGAUUCCUGCGUGAGUCAGCAGUGGGGAAUAUUGGCCAAUGGGCUAAAGCCUUAUCCAGCCAUGCCGGGGGUGUGAAGAAGUUCUUCGGAUUGUAAAGCACUUUAAGUUGGGAGGCGUUACCAACAGAAUAAGCACCGGCUAACUUCGUGCCAGCAGCCGCGGUAAUUC